ensembl:lncRNA
UGUGAAUACAGUAGUAAGUUUUAUUCAAACUUUUUCUCAACGACAAAAGACAAGUGUCACAGUGAUUUGACAAAGGAAUAAAAGAAAAUGUAAAAAAUGAAAAGUGCUCGAAUACAAUCCGACUUGUUCCUCUCGUAGUAAAGAAACCAAACAGCUGCAGUGCUACUAUGAUGUUAAGUCGCACUCGUGGCGAGAAAUCAAAGAUGCAUAGGAGACCUGACGACGCCUCUCUGAAGGCUCCAGCUGUUACUGCAUGACCAAACAGAAGUAACACGUUCUACAGAAAAGUGACCACAAACAGCACAGAACAUGCUGAUUUCCAAAACAACAAAACUGCAUGUUAGUUUGAACAUCACAGGUAUUAAAAAUUAGACAAGAAUCAUGUAGAAAUUAGAAACUUGUGUUGGGAAAAAUGAAUUUUUUGGCCUGUCGAUGAUGAUGUGACAGCAGCAAAGGGAUUUUAACAGGGUAGCAUCAUUAGAGUGAGGUGUGCAGUGUUUCAAACAGGCUUCAAUUUGCACAAAUACUUAGAAAUGCAGCUUUUAAUUACCAAACACCUGAUCUUCUUGUAGUUACAAAGAAAAAUAAAUAAGUCAAUAAAUAAAUAGUUGGUUUUUUUAAACUUACAUCUGGAAGCUUUUGCUGCUCAGUUUUUUUUUUAUUUUUCACAGUCGUUUGACGUGACAUCUGAAACUUUAUCAGCCUUCCAACUAAAAAUCAGUAGUUCAUCCUCCUUGUUCUCGUUUUUCUUUUUCAGCUUGUUUUAUUUGACUGAUAGAAAAAGAAAACAGAGUGCAAAUGCUUUAUUUCACAAGAGGGAAUCAUUUAUCGCAGAGAAAUAAAAUUGAAAAAAAAUUGGAAAUGGAACUUUUAUCUUUUAACUGACAUCAAGAAAUAUUUCUAAAUUUUAGGAAAUAUGUUUAUUUGCUUGAAUACCGAGUUAAAUGAAAAGAAAAAAAGCUUUCAUUGCUGUAUGCUUAAAUCCUGGAAUCAAACAGUAGUUCACUUUUAAUCUCCAUCCUAUUUCACUGGAAAUGGUUAUGUUAUAUAAGUGGAAAGGAAAAAGGCUGAUGGGUACAAAUUGUACAUAUUUCUACUGAGUUAUUGAAUUUUUUUUUUUUCACACAAGUCAAAUACAUCCGUCCAUAUGGAUGCAAAUGCCGGAGUCGGAUCCAAAACUCAGAACUUCGUUACAACUCGAUGUCUGACAUCAACUUUAAGUUGAAAUACUUUAAAAGAAAACUGUCAUAUUUUCUUGCUUCCAUGUAAUUGUCAGC